AUUGAACGCUGGCGGCAGGCCUAACACAUGCAAGUCGAGCGGAGCGGCGGACGGGUGAGUAAUGCCUAGGAAUCUGCCUGGUAGUGGGGGAUAACGUCCGGAAACGGGCGCUAAUACCGCAUACUAACAGAUGAGCCUAGGUCGGAUUAGCUAGUUGGUGGGGUAAAGGCCUACCAAGGCGACGAACCGUAACUUGUCUGGGGGGAUGAGCAGUCACACUGGAACUGAGACGCGGUCCAGUCCCCUACGGUAGGCAGCAGUGGGGAAUAUUGGACAAUGGGCGAGAGCCUGAUCCAGCCAUGCCGCGUGUGUGAAGAAGGGCUUCGGAUUUUAAAGCACUUUAAGUUUGGUGGCGUUACCAACAGAAUAAGCACCGGCUAACUUCGUGCCAGCAGCCGCGGUAAUAC
rnacentral:rRNA from 1 species